rnacentral:rRNA from 1 species
UACGUAGGGAGCAAGCGUUGUCCGGAAUCAUUGGGCGUAAAGCGCGUGUAGGUGGCCAUUUAAGUCCGCUGUGAAAGUCAAAGGCUCAACCUUUGAAAGCCGGUGGAUACUGGGUGGCUAGAGUACGGAAGAGGCGAGUGGAAUUCCUGGUGUAGCGGUGGAAUGCGCAGAUAUCAGGAGGAACACCAAUAGCGAAGGCAGCUCGCUGGGACGUUACUGACACUGAGGCGCGAAAGCGUGGGGAGCGAACAGG